rnacentral:rRNA from 1 species
GGGGGAAUUUUGGACAAUGGGGGAAACCCUGAUCCAGCCAUCCCGCGUGUGCGAUGAAGGCCUUCGGGUUGUAAAGCACUUUUGGCAGGAAAGAAACGUCAUGGGUUAAUACCCCGUGAAACUGACGGUACCUGCAGAAUAAGCACCGGCUAACUACGUGCCAGCAGCCGCGGUAAUACGUAGGGUGCAAGCGUUAAUCGGAAUUACUGGGCGUAAAGCGUGCGCAGGCGGUUCGGAAAGAAAGAUGUGAAAUCCCAGAGCUCAACUUUGGAACUGCAUUUUUAACUACCGGGCUAGAGUGUGUCAGAGGGAGGUGGAAUUCCGCGUGUAGCAGUGAAAUGCGUAGAUAUGCGGAGGAACACCGAUGGCGAAGGCAGCCUCCUGGGAUAACACUGACGCUCAUGCACGAAAGCGUGGGGAGCAAACAGG